rnacentral:piRNA from 1 species
CCUCAGGAACGUGGGGAAUCUGAUCGCCUU